rnacentral:rRNA from 1 species
UACGUAGGGUGCGAGCGUUUGUCCGGAAUUUAUUGGGCGUAAAGAGCUUGUAGGCGGUUUGUCGCGUCUGCUGUGAAAAUCCGGGGCUCAACCCCGGACUUGCAGUGGGUACGGGGCAGACUAGAGUGUGGUAGGGGGAGACUGGAAUUCCUGGUGUAGCGGUGAAAUGCGCAGAUAUCAGGAGGAACACCGAUGGCGAAGGCAGGUCUCUGGGCCACUACUGACGUGAGAAGCGAAAGCAUGGGGGAGCGAACGG